GGGAGAGGUGCAUGCGUGCUUUGCACGUCCGGCGAAGCGGGAGAGCCCGCUCAACAACCUAGCGGUAGACUAAGGGAUAGUAGAGAGACUGAAGCCGAGGAGUCGCGUUCUGGGAUUUUCAAGAGCCCCAAUGCACCAACUGCAGGCAGUCCUCCAGAAGUCGAGAAAGCUCCAGUGGACAAAUCACAGUACAAGAGGGAGAAAACCAACACCGUGUGGCCACCAGGAUAACAUCCAGUCCGCAAAAAUCCUAUGUGUUAUCAUUGCCAGAAGUGAACUACCUUGAUCAGACCCGAUGCAAAGCAGAUUUCUACCCAAAUUAGAAUGAAAAGCCAGGGGCUGACAACGGAAUGUAUACUGCUAAAUCUGACGUUACAUCUCAGUCGCAAUAGCCCAGGGCUAGGCGCAAGAGGGUGUUCUUUCUGUUGCUGCUACUCAUAUGUCCUUGAGUCCUUACCAAGAAAUUUUUGUGUGUGAUCUUGUUUAAGCACUGAAACAUUCUAUUGUUUCCCUCCAUUUUUUAUUCAACAUGGCUAGAAAAAUUAAACGCCAGCCUUAAAAAAAAUAUUUCCAAAUUGUAGACAGAACCCUCACAACUAACCACUAUGCUGCACUGUGCCUCAAUAAAUAUGUGUUAAGUGAAGGAAUAAAUUUCACAUCAUAGUGCAUGAAUAAUAAGCAAAGGAGAGCUGUAUUUUUAACAUAAGGUGAAAAUAUGCCAGCAGCCCAGAAACGUUGUUGAAAAUAACAGGAUUGCAGCAGGCUCCGAAGGAAAGGAUUCUUCAUGAGGCUGAGGCUCCAGGAGAAUGUAGCCAGGCCCUAGUCCUCCCACACUCAGAACACAGAAUGGGGACAUUGGAAGAGCUGGAGUGUUUUCAUCUCCCUCCGUUCUCUUGGCACUUCAAAUGAACACCUACUCAGAUUUCCAGCUGGCGAAGAACAACAUGGGACAUUUCUAUAGGAAAUGCCAGUGCUGUAUGACUUACCUCACUGGAAGAAUGCAAACAGCCUCGGAGAUUUCCACAGAAAUGCUGCCUGCCAUGUAGGAUUUGAGGAACUUGGCACAGCCGGUUUUACCAGGUAUGGAAACUGGGGCCUGGUACACCUUCUGCAUACAAGCCAGAGGUGAGAACUCAGGAUGAAGCAAGCAGUUGUUGCUCUGUCUUCUAGCCACGCUCCCCUCCCACCCCCCACUCCCCAGCUCUUUCACACCAAAGAUGUUGCCAAGCGAUUUAACAUAUGGAACAUGCGAGGAACGCAUCAAAUUCCCACAGCCGCUAAGUACAAGUUAUGACUACCCUGGCUUUCUCGUAGUAAAGCGCGUCAUUUUCUGCUCCACGGACUAGAACUCAUCGCCAAGAACAACUUCCAACAUUUUUCCCCUUGCUACAUGGAUUGAACCAAUUUUAAAAACCAGAUGGUGUUUUUGCCGUUUAUAACUGAUAAUCAAUUGUUUUGUGAAUUUAAUUUUUUUCAAGAAAGAACUGAAAUACUUAUCAGAAUUACAAUCUGGGUGCGACUUGCGUUAGAAUAAACUUGCCAGAAGCACCAGGA